rnacentral:rRNA from 1 species
CAAGGAAUUUUCGUCAAUGGGGGCAACCCUGAACGAGCAACGCCGCGUGGGCGAAGAAGUCCUUCGGGAUGUAAAGCCCUUUUCCCUUUGAAGAAAGAAAGACGGUAGGAGGGGAAUAAGCAUCGGCUAACUACGUGCCAGCAGCCGCGGUAAUACGUAGGAUGCAAGCGUUGUCCGGAAUUAUUGGGCGUAAAGAGCGCGCAGGCGGUCUAUCAAGUCAGAUGUGAAAUAUCCCGGCUUAACCGGGAGGGGUCAUUUGAAACUGGUAGACUAGAGUACAGCAGAGGAUAGUGGAAUUCCCGGUGUAGUGGUGAAAUGCGUAGAUAUCGGGAGGAACACCAGUGGCGAAGGCGACUAUCUGGGCUGAAACUGACGCUGAGGCGCGAAGGCUAGGGGAGCAAACAG